CGAACGGCUGUCGAGGUUAAUGGAUUCUGUACAACGCUGAGGAAUCUCAGUUAUAUAACAUCCAAAUACAUCACAACUUGCAGUGGUCUUUUACUUUGAGCAGGUGGAGCAUAUGGAUGCUGCUUCUCCAGCAGGAAAGAACGGUGAUACAAGGAAAAGCUCAAACCCCAUUGAAUUUACACCACAAGAAAACCGUCAACUUGGCUAUGGACACAUACAAAGUGAAAGUACACCGCAAGAAAAUCGUCAACUUGGCUCUGAACAGUUACAAAAUGAAAAUACACCACAAGAAAGCCGUCAACUUGGCUCUGAACAUGUACAAAGUGAGAGUACACCACAAGAAAACCAUCAACUUGGCUCCGAAUAUAUACGAAGUG